UAGUUUCCUUAUUCGGUAUAACAAGUUAUCACAAACCUAGGAGCUUCAAACGACACAAAUUUAUUUUCUCACAGCAUCAGGAGUCUGGGUUCAUUGUAAAUGGGUUCUCUGCUCAGGCUCUUACAAGGCUGCAGUCAAGAUGUCAGCCAGUCUGUGAUCUUUUUUGGAGCUACAGGUCAUCUUCCAAGCUCAUGUGGUUAUUGACAAAAUUUACUUUCUUGCAGUUGUAGGACUGAAGCCCUCCUAAGGGCCUACCCAGUUCCUUACCAUGUGGCCCUCUCCAUAGGCAAUUCACAACAUAGCAGCUUGCUUUUUCAAGACGAGCAGCAGAGUGUCUCUCUCCAACCUCCCAAGACUGAGUCUUAUAUAAGCACUCCAUCAUUUUUGCCCUUUAAGCGCUAGGAGUGAUUCAAGAAGUAGCUCUCUCCGAGAAGGCAUCAGCUGACACAACUGGGACUUAUGGUCUGAGAUGUCCACAGACAUGCUCCUGGGUUUUCGCACCAUAGGCCGGAACCAAGGCAAGGAACUGAAGAGGUGGGCAUUCGAUGAGGACUCCCCAUUUGUCCUCUUUCUCCAAGCUUUGAAACGUUACAGGUAGGCCUGUUACUAGUUCCCAUAAGGAAGAGGGCCAGGAUUGGGGCCAGCUAGAUACCAUGACUUG
rnacentral:lncRNA from 1 species